rnacentral:tRNA from 1 species
AGAGCUUUAAGUUAUUCAAACUAUUAACCUUCAAAGUUAAAAAUAAAUCUAUUUUAAGCUUUA